UCCUGGUGGCUCAGACAGUAAAGAGUCUGCCUGCAAUGCAGGAGACCCAGGUUCGAUCCCUGGGUUGGGAA
rnacentral:tRNA from 1 species